rnacentral:snRNA from 1 species
UUGCUUUGGCAGCACAUAUACUAAAAUUGGAAUGAUACAGAGAAGAUUAGCAUGGCCCUUGCACAAGGAUGACAUGCAAAUUCAUGAAGCAUUCCACAUUUUU